rnacentral:miRNA from 1 species
UUUCGUAUGACAAGCAAUGCUUGCCACACUCAUCAGGUGAAUUUAAAAUUAAAUUUAAAUUAAUUUAAUUUUAAUUUAAAUUAAUUUAAUUUAAAUUUAAUUUUUUUAAAUUCACCUGAUGAGUGUGGCAAGCAUUGCUUGUCAUACGAAA